UACGGGAGGCAGCAGUGGGGAAUAUUGCACAAUGGGCGAAAGCCUGAUGCAGCUAUGCCGCGUGUAUGAAGAAGGCCUUAGGGUUGUAAAGUACUUUUCAUCGGGGAGGAAAAAACAAAACUAAUAAUUUUAUUUCUUGACGUUACCCGAAAAAGAAGCACCGGCUAACUCCGUGCCAGCAGCCGCGGUAAUACGGAGGGUGCUAGCGUUAAUCAGAAUUACUGGGCGUAAAGAGCACGUAGGUGGUUUUUUUAAAGUCAGAUGUGAAAUCCCUGGGCUUAACCUAGGAACUGCAUUUUGAAACUGAAAUACUAGAGUAUCGUAGAGGGAGGUAGAAUUCUAGGUGUAGCGGUGAAAUGCGUAGAUAUCUGGAGGAAUACCUGUGGCGAAAGCGGCCUCCUAAACGAAUACUGACACUGAGGGUGCGAAAGCGUGGGGAGCAAACGAGGGAUUAGAUACC
rnacentral:rRNA from 1 species